AUGAACGCUGGCGGCGUGCUUAACACAUGCAGGUCGAACGGAAAGGCUCCUGCUUGCAGGGGUACUCGAGUGGCGAACGGGUGAGUAACACGUGGGUGAUCUGCCCUGCACUUCGGGAUAAGCCUGGGAAACUGGGUCUAAUACCGGAUAGGACGAUGGUUUGGAUGCCAUUGUGGAAAGUUUUUCGGUGUGGGAUGAGCUCGCGGCCUAUCAGCUCGUUGGUGGGGUAAUGGCCUACCAAGGCGUCGACGGGUAGCCGGCCUGAGAGGGUGUACGGCCACAUUGGGACUGAGAUACGGCCCAGACUCCUACGGGAGGCAGCAGUGGGGAAUAUUGCACAAUGGGCGCAAGCCUGAUGCAGCGACGCCGCGUGGGGGAUGACGGCCUUCGGGUUGUAAACUCCUUUCGCUAGGGACGAAGCGCAAGUGACGGUACCUGGAGAAGAAGCACCGGCUAACUACGUG
rnacentral:rRNA from 1 species